ensembl:piRNA 21ur-15443 ncRNA
UAAUCACAUCGAAAUGAAAAA